UCAAGCGUUUAAGGGCGUGUAGUGGAUGCCUUGGCACUGAAAGCCGAUGAAGGACGUGAUAUACUGCGAUAAGUUUCGGGGAGCUGUAUGUAAGCUUUGAUCCGAAAAUUUCCGAAUGGGGAAACCCACCACUUUAUGUGGUACUUUAAACUGAAUACAUAGGUUUAAAGAGACAACCUGGAGAACUGAAACAUCUAAGUAACCAGAGGAAAAGAAAUCAAUUGAGAUUCCGUUAGUAGUGGCGAGCGAACGCGGAGUAGGCCAGUAGUUUUGUUAGAAAAAUUUGAAUAGUUUGGAAAUGCUAACCAUAGAGGGUGAUAGUCCCGUAUGAGUAAUGUCUAACAAAAUUCUUGAGUAAAGCGGGACACGAGAAAUCCUGCUCGAAUAUAGGGGGACCACCCUCUAAGCCUAAAUACUCUUCAGUGACCGAUAGUGAACUAGUACCGUGAGGGAAAGGUGAAAAGAACCCCUAUUAGGGGAGUGAAAUAGAACCUGAAACUGCAUGCCUACAAUCAGUCCGAGCCCUUUUUAGGGUGAGGGCGUACCUUUUGUAUAAUGGGUCAGUGACUUAAUUUAUUAAGCAAGCUUAAGCCAUCUAGGUGUAGGCGCAGCGAAAGCAAGUCUUAAUAGGGCGAUUAGUUUAAUGAAUUAGACCCGAAAACGAAUGAGCUUACCAUGAGCAGGUUGAAAGUUGGGUAACACCAACCGGAGGACCGAACCAGUUGACGUUGAAAAGUCUUUGGAUGACUUGUGGUAAGGGGUGAAAGGCCAACCAAAUUCGUAGAUAGCUGGUUUUCCGCGAAAACUAUUUAGGUAGUGCGUCGAAUAAAUAGAUGUUUAGAGGUAGAGCACUAAAUGGGCUAGGGGGAAGAGAUUCUUACCAAACCUAAUAAAACUCCGAAUGCUAGACAUUGUUCUUCGGCAGACAGACUGUGGGUGCUAAGGUCCAUGGUCGAGAGGGAAAGAGCCCAGACCACCAGAUAAGGUCCCAAAAUCAUGAUUAAGUGUGAAAGGAUGUGGAAAUUCCUUAACAGCCGGGAGGUUGGCUUAGAAGCAGCCAUCCUUUAAAGAUAGCGUAACAGCUCACCGGUCUAAUAGAGUUUCUGCGCCGAAGAUGUAACGGGGCUAAAAUCAUGUACCGAAUCUGUGGCUUUGCAAAGUUUUCGAACUUUGUAAGGGGUAGCGGAACGUUCUGUAAGCCUGCGAAGGGAUACCCGUGAGGGAUCCUGGAGGUAUCAGAAGUGCGAAUGCUGACAUAAGUAACGAUAAACGAAGUGAAAAACUUCGUCGCCGAAAAUCUAAGGGUUUCUAUGCAAGGUUAAUCCGCGUAGAGUUAGUCGGCACCUAAGGCGAGGGCGAAAGCCGUAGUCGAUGGAAACAAGGUUAAUAUUCCUUGACCUGAUGGUAGUGACGGAUUUCGUAAGUUGUGAGUUCUUAAUGGAUUGAACUUGCCGCGAAGAGGUCCCAAGAAAUAGCUCCAUCAUGAAGACCGUACCCGAAACCGACACAGGUAGAUUAAUAGAGUAUAUUUAGGCGCUUGAGAGAAUGAUGUUGAAGGAACUCGGCAAAAUGCUUCCGUAACUUCGGGAUAAGGAAGACCCUUUUGUAGGCAACUAUAGAAGGGUGGCACAAGCCAGGGAGAAGCGACUGUUUAUCAAAAACACAGGGCUCUGCUAACACGUAAGUGGAUGUAUAGGGUCUGACGCCUGCCCGGUGCUGGAAGGUUAAUGCGGUUGGUGCAAGCUAACUUCUGAAGCCCCAGUAAACGGCGGCCGUAACUAUAACGGUCCUAAGGUAGCGAAAUUCCUUGUCGGGUAAGUUCCGACCUGCAUGAAUGGCGUAACGAUUUCUCCGCUGUCUCCAACAUCAACUCAGUGAAAUUGAAUUCUCCGUGAAGAUGCGGAGUUCGCGUAGUUAGACGGAAAGACCCCGUGCACCUUUACUGCAACUUUACAUUGGUGUUAGGAAAAACAUAUUUAGCAUAGGAGGGAGACUUUGAAGCAAAGGCGUCAGCUUUUGUGGAGUCACCAGUGAAAUACCUCUUUUGUUUUUCUUGACAUCUAACCGCUAGCCGUCAUCCGGCAGCGAGACAUUGUAUGGUGGGUAGUUUGACUGGGGCGGUCGCCUCCCAAAUAGUAACGGAGGCGUGCGAAGGUAGGCUCAGAACGGUCAGAAAUCGUUCGUAGAGUGCAAUGGCAUAAGCCUGCCUGACUGUGAGACUGACAAGUCGAGCAGAGACGAAAGUCGGUCAUAGUGAUCCGGUGGUUCUG
rnacentral:rRNA from 1 species